rnacentral:rRNA from 1 species
AUGAAUCACAACCCGGAGAUUCUUUGUCGGAAUGUGCAUGGACUUAAUAGCCCCGCAAAAUGGAAGGCUGUUAAAGAUUUCAUAGCUACGGUUAAGGUGAACCUCGUGUGUCUGCAAGAGACAAAACUAGAUAUAAUUGACCAGUUUAUGGUAAUGUAAUGCUUAGGCCCGUCCUUCGACGACUUUUCUUACUUGCUGGCUGUGGAGACGCGAGGUGGAAUCCUCCUUGCCUGGGACUCGACUACCCUCAUGGUAGAUCAUAUCAAUCUCAAUAAUAACUCGCUAAUGGGCUACGUGCACACCAAGGAAGGGAGCAACUGGUGGCUGACAAUGGUGUAUGCGGCCCAAGGGGAUGAGCUCAAGACUCAAUUCUUGUCGGAGUUGUCUGCAAGGAGAGAGAGCUACCCCGGCCCUUGGAUGCUUCUCGGUGACUUUAAUAUGAUCCUUAGGGCGAGCGAGAAGAAUAACAAUAACAUCAAUCAAGGCAUGAUGAACAAUUUUAGGAGCUUUGUGGACGAGCAUGAGCUAAAAGAAGUGUACAUGCAUGGGCGCAUGUAUACCUGGUCCAAUGAGAGAGAUGCCCCUACCCUCACCAAAAUUGACAGGGCCUUGGCUUCCAUCGACUGGGAGUUGUCUUAUCCUGACCAUCUUCUCCAAGCCCUGUCGACUAGCAUCUCGGAUCACAAGCCCUUGCACCUAUCGACGAGCACACAUUUCUACCCGAAAAAGCGCUUUCGCUUUGAGAUCUACUAG